CUGAGUUAUCUAACUCCCAAACCUUUGUGAACAUACCAUUGUUGCUUCGGCGGACUCGUCCCGGGCGCGCUCUCGAGCGUGAUCCGGAGCCAGGCGGCCGCCGAGGGUAUCAAACUCUUGUUUUUAUAGUGGACUUCUGAGUAUCAUGAGUAAAUAAAUCA
rnacentral:misc_RNA from 1 species